GGUGGGAUGGCCGAGUUGGUUAUGGCGCCAGGCAUGUGUCACGUGAUUCUGCUCCUUAAAAUGUAAACUAACAGUCUCCUAGGUUAAGGUUACCUUAACAUUAAUUCCUGGUUCGGAAACGAGCGUGGGUUCGAGUCCCACUCCCAUCA